rnacentral:rRNA from 1 species
GGGAUUGGGUGCGCGGAUCUUCAGAGAUUAGAGUUUGAUCAUGGCUCAGGAUGAACGCUAGCGGCAGGCUUAACACAUGCAAGUCGAGGGGCAGCACGAUGUAGCAAUACAUGGGUGGCGACCGGCGCACGGGUGCGUAACACGUAUGGAAUCUGCCCUGUACUGGGAGAUAGCCCUCCGAAAGGAGGAUUAAUAUCCCAUGAUCGCCGAGGUGGCAUCACCUUGGUCUGAAAGCUCCGGCGGUACAGGAUGACCAUGCGCACGAUUAGCUAGUUGGUGAGGUAACGGCUCACCAAGGCUACGAUCGUUAGGGGGCCUGAGAGGGUUAUCCCCCACACUGGUACUGAGACACGGACCAGACUCCUACGGGAGGCAGCAGUGAGGAAUAUUGCGCAAUGGAGGCAACUCUGACGCAGCCAUGCCGCGUGCAGGAAGAAGGCGCUACGCGUUGUAAACUGCUUUUAACCGGGAAGAAACCCCAGGACGUGUCCUGGGUUGACGGUACCGGAGGAAUAAGCACCGGCUAACUUCGUGCCAGCAGCCGCGGUAAUACGAAGGGUGCAAGCGUUAUCCGGAUUCAUUGGGUUUAAAGGGUGCGUAGGUGGGGCGGUAAGUCAGUGGUGAAAUCCUGCAGCUCAACUGUAGAAUUGCCAUUGAUACUGCCGCUCUUGAGUACGCUUGACGUGGGCGGAAUGUGCCGUGUAGCGGUGAAAUGCUUAGAUAUGGCACAGAACACCGAUAGUGAAGACAGCUCACGAAGGCGAAACUGACACUGAGGCACGAAAGCGUGGGGAUCGAACAGGAUUAGAUACCCUGGUAGUCCACGCCGUAAACGAUGAUCACUCGUGAUCGGCGAUAUACGGCCGGGUCACCUAGCGAAAGCGUUAAGUGAUCCACCUGGGGAGUACGGCCGCAAGGCUGAAACUCAAAGGAAUUGACGGGGGCCCGCACAAGCGGUGGAGCAUGUGGGUUUAAUUCGAUGAUACGCGAGGAACCUUACCAGGGCUCGAACGCACGACGACAGGGGUGGGAAACAUCCUCUUUCUUCGGACGG